rnacentral:rRNA from 1 species
AGUGAACGCUGGCGGUAGGCCUAACACAUGCAAGUCGGACGGCAGCACAGUAAGAGCUUGCUCUUACGGGUGGUGAGUGGCGGACGGGUGAGGAAUACAUCGGAAUCUACUUUUUCGUGGGGGAUAACGUAGGGAAACUUACGCUAAUACCGCAUACGACCUACGGGUGAAAGCAGGGGAUCUUCGGACCUUGCGCGAUUGAAUGAGCCGAUGUCGGAUUAGCUAGUUGGCGGGGUAAAGGCCCACCAAGGCGACGAUCCGUAGCUGGUCUGAGAGGAUGAUCAGCCACACUGGAACUGAGACACGGUCCAGACUCCUACGGGAGGCAGCAGUGGGGAAUAUUGGACAAUGGGCGCAAGCCUGAUCCAGCCAUACCGCGUGGGUGAAGAAGGCCUUCGGGUUGUAAAGCCCUUUUGUUGGGAAAGAAAAGCAGCAGGUUAAUACCCCGCUGUUCUGACGGUACCCAAAGAAUAAGCACCGGCUAACUUCGUG